GGAGGAUUACCCAAGUCCGGCUGAAGGGAACGGUCUUGAAAACCGUCAGGCGUGUCGUGUAAAAGCGUGCGUGGGUUCGAAUCCCACAUCCUCCU
rnacentral:tRNA from 2 species